CCUACGGGGGGCUGCAGUAGGGAAUUUUCGGCAAUGGGGGGAACCCUGACCGAGCAACGCCGCGUGAACGAAGAAGUUAUUCGUAAUGUAAAGCUCUGUUAACAGGGAAGAAAGAGAAAUUUGGCGGUACCUGAAGAAUAAGCGCCGGCUAACUACGUGCCAGCAGCCGCGGUAAUACGUAGGGAGCGAGCGUUAUCCGGAAUUAUUGGGCGUAAAGGGUGCGUAGAUGGCAUAGUAAGUCUUUUGUAAAAAUGCUGGGCUCAACCCAGUAGGGCAAAAGAUACUGCAAAGCUAGAGUAUGACAGAGGCAAGUGGAACUACAUGUGUAGCGGGAAAAUGCGUAGAUAUAUGUAAGAACACCAGUGGCGAAGGCGGCUUGCUGGGUCGAUACUGACAUUGAGGCACGAAAGCAUGGGGAGCAAACAGGAUUAGAUACCCGGGUAGUC
rnacentral:rRNA from 1 species